rnacentral:rRNA from 1 species
UACGUAGGCAGCAAGCGUUGUUCGGAGUUACUGGGCGUAAAGGGUGUGUAGGCGGCCUGUUAAGUUCCGUGUGAAAUCUCCCGGCUCAACUGGGAGGGUGCGGCGGAAACUGGAGUGCUCGAGUGUGGGAGAGGUAAGCGGAAUUCCUGGUGUAGCGGUGAAAUGCGUAGAUAUCAGGAGGAACACCUGUGGUGUAGACAGCUUACUGGACCACGACUGACGCUGAGACACGAAAGCGUGGGUAGCAAACAGG